UACGGAGGAUCCGAGCGUUAUCCGGAUUUAUUGGGUUUAAAGGGAGCGUAGGCGGGAGGUCAAGUCAUCUGUGAAAUGUAUCUGCUUAACGGGUACACUGCAGUUGAAACUGGUUUUCUUGAGUGCGUAAGAGGCAGGCGGAAUUCGUUGUGUAGCGGUGAAAUGCUUAGAUAUGACGAGGAACUCCUAUUGCGAAGGCAGCUUGCUGGGUCGUUACUGACGCUGAUGCUCGAAGGUGCGGGGAUCAAACAGGAUUAGAUA
rnacentral:rRNA from 1 species